CAGAGGCAUAUAGGGGGGCAUGUGAUCCCCAGAUUUGUGAGCAGGGCAGAUACAGGCUGCUUGCUGCAGGCUCAGGGCUGCAUGCCCUGCUGCCCUUCCCUCAGGAGCCUCAAGCUAUCGUGGCGAGGUGCCCCCUGCUUGCCUGGCAGCAGCGUGGUGUUGUGCCCCCACUGCUGCUGAGUGAGCAGGGGCCAUGCAGCAGGGCUUCCAGGCCCCCGCCCCACUCAGCUCUGCUCUGGCCUUGCCCCGGGGGCAGGGGUGGGGAGCAGGAGGAGGUGGCUGUGUGUCCCACAUUUCGAUUUUUAAAAGGUGGCCACCCUAGCUGCAGUCCCUGCCCCCUGUGACUGCCCCAGGAAGGCAGCUGGUAUGAGCUUCCGUCGGGGCAUGGGCGGAUCUAGGAUUUUGAAAGAGGGGUGCCCAUGGCAAGGGGCAUUGUCACAGGGGACACAACGCACAUUUUUCUGCAGGUAAGAAGAAACUAGAAGUUUUACUCGUACCCUGGGGCUGCGGUACUCAGGUUAAGGAAAAGCAAAAACACACCUAACUCCACUGGAAUGAGUUAGAAACAAUCUGCAGGGCUGCAACAUUCACUGGCGAGUGAGUGGCGUGAGAACAACUUCGCACGUCCAGCCAGAGAGCUACGUUUAUUGCAAUAUUGCAAUGAAUGGUGUGAGAAUCCCUUUGCACACACAGCCAAGACCGCAUCUACGCCACCAUUCGCCACUCAACUGCGUGAUACGAGUCACCUGUGGCGGGGCCUCGCAGCACGGCAGAGCCAGGGCGGGCACGUGACGACCUCCCCAUCCCCACACCUGACUGCACACCAGGCCGGGCCUUCGGAAAGAGCAGGAGCAGGUGCUGAUUGGCUGGAGCCCUCUUCCUGCGCACGGGAUUGGUGUAGGCCAAGGGGCGGGAGACGUCAUUCACGCUCGCGGCUGCGCAGUAGGAGGGUUGGGUGGACUGCACAUCCCGGCAUUCUCGGCGCAGGAGCCGCUGUUCCACAAUGCCGCGCGCGGCGGGGCGAGAGAGCGGCCGGAUGCGGGGUCGGGCUGGGCGGCGGGGGUGGCCCGCGGGGCCGG
rnacentral:lncRNA from 1 species